AACGAACGCUGGCGGCAUGCCUAACACAUGCAAGUCGAACGAGACCUUCGGGUCUAGUGGCGCACGGGUGCGUAACGCGUGGGAACCUGCCCUUAGGUUCGGAAUAACUCCCCGCAAGGGGUGCUAAUACCGGAUAAUGUCUUCGGACCAAAGAUUUAUCGCCUUUGGAUGGGCCCGCGUUGGAUUAGCUAGUUGGUAGGGUAAAAGCCUACCAAGGCGACGAUCCAUAGCUGGUCUGAGAGGAUGAUCAGCCACACUGGGACUGAGACACGGCCCAGACUCCUACGGGAGGCAGCAGUGGGGAAUAUGGGACAAUGGGCGAAAGCCUGAUCCAGCAAUGCCGCGUGAGUGAUGAAGGCCUUAGGGUUGUAAAGCUCUUUUAACCGGGAUGAUAAUGACAGUACCGGGAGAAUAAGCGCCGGCUAACUACGUG
rnacentral:rRNA from 1 species